AAAGAGGAUGACUAUAAAUUGAGUCAUAAAGCUCCAUUAUAUAUCAUCAACCAAAUCUCUUUGCUCUUCAGUUUCUCCUACAUAUAUACUGCAAUUAAUUAAGAUGACUAUCACACCCAAAUUGCCAAAUAUCCCAUUUCUCUUGGUCCUUCUGAUGAUGAUGAUGGCAUUUCUCUUUGCUAGAAGACAGCUGUGCGAAAUCGGUCCCGGAGACCAUCAUUCACCAGGAGGACCAGGUUGUGUUGAAUGUUGAUGUGGAGGUUGAGCACGCCCAUAAAUAUCAAAAGCAAAGAAGAUGAUGAACCAAAAAAAUGUGUACUUAUAGAUGAUUAAAUAAGCAGAAGUUAAGAACUUCAUCGUAUGUUGUUAGUACGUGAUGAAAAAAUAGUUUUUAAUUAAGAAAUAAAUUCAGAAAUAUGUAUGUGCACGGAUCGGAUAUGCAUGCAGGUAUAAUUUGAAAGAGAAAAUGUAUUUGCAAUU